rnacentral:sRNA from 1 species
CCGGCCCUGCCCUGCCCUGCCCUGCCCGGCCCUGCCCUGCACUGCCCGGCCCCGCACGGGCGGCGCGAUGUGAGGCGUCCGAGCCCAGAGCCUCCGCCUGGCAUCAGCUCCACGCAGCCCAGCGCCGGCACGCGCGAGGCCCCCCUUCUGCAGAGGCCGGGCUGGAGGAGAAGAUGGCGGCCAAGCAGCCCCCGCCUCUGAUGAAGAAGCACAGCCAGACGGACCUCGUGAGCCGCCUGAAGACCCGCAAGAUCCUCGGCGUGGGCGGGGAGGAUGACGACGGGGAGGUGCAUCGCUCCAAGAUCAGCCAGGUCUUAGGCAAUGAAAUCAAGUUUACCAUUCGGGAGCCUUUGGGGCUCAGGGUCUGGCAGUUCGUCUCUGCUGUGCUCUUCUCCGGCAUUGCCAUCAUGGUGAGCCCCUACCCCCAGCCCCUGAGAUCUGGCCCUGUGUGGCUCCCUCAGCCCUUCUCUGGCUCACCAGAGGUGCCUCCUCCAUCCUGGCCCCUCGUGCAGGGGCCCAUCUCUCAGGCUCUGGGGCUGCCUCCGAGAACCUGACUCCUACACUGCCACGCCUGUGCCCUCUCCAGGAGCACACUAGAUCCCAUGGUUUGUGGCCUGACUCCUUGUCCCAGGAACCCUGGAGUUUUCUGUCCUGGCAUGGGGGCGGGUGGGGACAAUUGGGUCCAGACCCUGGACUGCCCCCAAGGAUGCUGAUCCUGCUCCUGGGGGGGAAGGAAGACGUCUGUGGGAAGCAUCAGCUGUCACCCCCCACCCUCUCCCAAGCGGGACCUCUGAGCCCCUCUCGCUGCCCGCAGGCGCUUGCCUUCCCUGACCAGCUCUAUGAUGCGGUCUUUGAUGGAGCCCAGGUGACCAGCAAGACCCCCAUCCGCCUCUACGGCGGUGCCCUCCUCAGUGAGUACUGCUGGGGCGGGCCCUGGGGGAGGCGACAGGCAGCUGGGAGACCCAGCGGGGCUGAGGAGAGCACGGGGGUCCGUGCCCGGGCACCCCUUCCUUUCUUCGGCCAGAUGCUGCAGCCCACACCCCAGCC